rnacentral:rRNA from 1 species
AGCGAACGCUGGCGGCAGGCCUAACACAUGCAAGUCGAACGAAGCCUUCGGGCUUAGUGGCGGACGGGUGAGUAACACGUGGGAACAUGCCCUUCGGUUCGGAAUAACUCAGGGAAACUUGAGCUAAUACCGGAUACGCGCUUAGGGGGAAAGAUUUAUUGCCGAAGGAUUGGCCCGCGUCCGAUUAGCUAGUUGGUGAGGUAAUGGCUCACCAAGGCGACGAUCGGUAGCUGGUCUGAGAGGAUGAUCAGCCACACUGGGACUGAGACACGGCCCAGACUCCUACGGGAGGCAGCAGUGGGGAAUAUUGGGCAAUGGGGGCAACCCUGAUCCAGCCAUGCCGCGUGAGUGAUGAAGGCCUUAGGGUUGUAAAGCUCUUUCACCGGGGAAGAUAAUGACGGUACCCGGAGAAGAAGCCCCGGCUAACUUCGUGCCAGCCGCCGCCGUAAAAC